UACGUAGGGUGCAAGCGUUAAUCGGAAUUACUGGGCGUAAAGCGUGCGCAGGCGGCUAUGCAAGACAGAUGUGAAAUCCCCGGGCUUAACCUGGGAACUGCAUUUGUGACUGCAUGGCUAGAGUACGGUAGAGGGGGAUGGAAUUCCGCGUGUAGCAGUGAAAUGCGUAGAUAUGCGGAGGAACACCGAUGGCGAAGGCAAUCCCCUGGGCCUGCACUGACGCUCAUGCACGAAAGCGUGGGGAGCAAACAGG
rnacentral:rRNA from 1 species